ensembl:snRNA U6 U6 spliceosomal RNA
GUGUAGGAGACUUUAGCAGCACAUAUACUAAAAUUGGAACAAUACAGAGAAAAUUAGCGUGGCCCCUACACAAAGAUGACAUGUAAAUUCAUGAAGCAUUCCAAAGCGAA